rnacentral:rRNA from 1 species
UACAGAGGUCUCAAGCGUUGUUCGGAUUCAUUGGGCGUAAAGGGUGCGUAGGUGGCGUGGUAAGUCGGGUGUGAAAUUUCGGAGCUCAACUCCGAAACUGCAUUCGAUACUGCCGUGCUUGAGGACUGGAGAGGAGACUGGAAUUUACGGUGUAGCAGUGAAAUGCGUAGAGAUCGUAAGGAAGACCAGUGGCGAAGGCGGGUCUCUGGACAGUUCCUGACACUGAGGCACGAAGGCUAGGGGAGCAAACGGG